rnacentral:lncRNA from 1 species
CUUAUUACCCAUUACCCAAAACCAUUUCUCAUUCCACCAAACUUGCUUCACGUUGUUGACAUGACAACAGUAGCUAGUCAAAGGUAUCGUAACACCUGAAAGGAGAAAAAUUGAAAUGGAAAAUCACUGUAUGGCAUUUCUUAAACAAACAUGUUGGAUGGGCAACAAAAUUCAUUCCAGCUCUUCCAUAUCAGUCAGAAAUCUGAGGCCAGCCAAUCAAAGAUGAUUCUGUUCUUUCUCAGCUUUUUGGCAACUUAAUGCCAAAAAUGGCCCAAAUGUUAGAUGUUUAAAAUGGUCCCCACAUUAGAUAAAUACAAGCUGGAAAGCAAAAUCUGGAUUCCAGAAGACCCAAACUAUCAUCACUAAGAAAGAGCCUUGUUAGUAAGUGCAGGUAGUUUAAUUUCCUGUAAAAAGUCGCCAGUGCCUUGUUUCAGAUGAUGGUUUAUCAUUUUAUCUGGAUAUUUGUUCAAAGCAGAAGACUGAUUGGCUGUACUCUAAUGAAAAUCACUCAUAUGCCUCUUUGAUCUCAGGAAAAGAACAAGAAGCACAGCAUCGUCAGGUGUGAAUUCUGCCCCCACUGGGGCUGUGGUGCCGGAGUGGGGUGGCAUGAUGUAUUCAGAAUUUAGGUGAGCCCAGCCUUCCAGAAACUGUCAUCACUUUAAUUUUACAUCUUUCAAAAAUACUUGAGAGUUUGUUCUGUAGAAGGAAUGUCAAUGGGAUGCCUGUAGAAGUUAAAGGAUCUUGUUACUGGCCCUCUUCAGUUAAGUCUCUAUAGCUACAGGAAAAUCAGAUGGAAGCUGGUGAUGCUUGGCAGAUCUGGUGAGUGGAGUGACAACCACAUAGAAUACUGCCCACUGUUUGUUUGAAGUCAGUGUCAAAACUGCUUCAUAAGUUCACAAAGUUUUCUUCCUUAAUUUGAAUCAGGUGUUUUCUCUGUUAAAUUUGAUUCAUUCUCUCCCCUCAACCCAUACUGUGACUGUUGACCAAAAUCAAACUUGAAUUUCUGCACUUUGAAAGAAAGCACAGUAGGAACCUUCAACACAAGCCCCUACAUACACCACCAAAAUUCUACACUGUUUGCAAAGAAAGUGCACAAAAUUGGUCCAAUGUAAGAUUCUUCAAAAGUAUGUAAUUAAAAUUGUGUGUUAUGCCAUUCACAACUUUUGAAUAUGUUAUGAAAUGUUAAAUGCCUCAUUCCUUGUUAAUUUGCUGUUGCUGUUUUUGUGAUACAAAAUAAACUUAUUUGGGAUUGUUUUUCUU